GACACUCCUGUGAGCACUCGAUGUGAAUGUGAGUGGAUAGUACAUGAUAGCAAAUGGCCCUGCCUUUAUUACCUGACUCACUUGUACCAGAAUAGCCCCAACAUCACUCACGCCUUAUUUACUCUUUAGGAAACUAUUCGAACUCUUUCAGAAGACUGACUCCUUGAUAAUCCAGUAGUACUCCUGUUUCCAACAUUUCACAUUAUUAAAUGAAAAUGCAAGGAAUGAAGAAGGGAAGGAGAGAAAGUGGGAAGAGGGAGGGAUGCAGGAAAGAAGGGAAGAUGAAAAGAAGAAAAAUACCUUCUCACUCCCUCUUCUGCAAAAUCCACUCCAAGCAAUGGUAGUAAAAACUCAGCUGAAAAGUAGUAGAAAGCAAGACUAAAACUGUAACAUAUACAACAAUAACACUGACAUCUGGCUGUCUUAGCCCAAGUAUGAAAUUAUAGAACUUAGCAGACAUGUUUAAAUCUUACAUUCUUACAUGCUUCUUCCAGAAAUUAAAAGGAUAAUAUUGUUUGUGUUAGCUUACAUGGGAUACAUAUAAAAUUAGAUAUUAGGUUUGUUAGGAACAAUUAAUUGAGUUGAUUAAAAUAAAGAAGCUUCUGAUCCA